UAAGAUGAAGAACAAAUGUAACUAAAUACGAUGCAAACUAUAAAAACAACUUUACAGACACAGGUGCCGACAUUUUGAGUUCAUACAUGCAAAUAUCUAUGACUACAUCUGUUUAAUCCUAAUCUACUGUAUUAAGUAAUGUGAUAAAAUUUUAUUUGUUACAAAUAUGUUAAAAACAGCCUUGGUAACUGGUGAGACAUUUUGUUAAUGUUUAUAUAUAUUUCUUACUUCAGUUAGCAGGAAAACUGCAUAGACAGCAUCUUCUUAAACAGGUUCAAUUUUGAUUUCCAUAAGGGUAUUAUGCAGUUUAAAUUGGGUUCUGAAGAAAGGACAAAGCAUUCUUUUUUAAAUUAUUUCACUACUAAGAUGUUUGGUAUAUAAAAUUUUACUUUUUAUGGGUUAUAAAACAAGAAGAAUCUUUUCUGCCAUUCCUAAUCCACAGGGUUUGAUAUGUCGACUCAACCUUAGCAGCUUCAAAUCGUCUGGGAAGAAGGUUUUCCAAAAGCUUUAGGAGUGUGUUCACGUGGAUUUGUUUUAACCAUUCUUCCAGAAGCACAUCUGAGAGGUCAGACACUGAUGUUGGACAAGAAGGUCUGGCUCACAGUCAACGCUUUAAUUUAACCUAAAGGUAUUAAAGUGUGCUGAAGUUAGGUAUCUAUGAAUGCCAGUCCAUUUCUUCCACAAAGUCACUCAUCAAGGUUUUUCUGGACAUUUGAUAAUAAUUAGGUCUUCACAGAAUCCAGUUCAUGCCUAUCCUACUUUGAAUUAAAUUAGAUCAUGGUGAAAAAAUAAUGGUUAGCAGAUCAAAUACGAGAUGUAUUUUGAAUAAAAAAAUUCUCAGGUAAACAUAUUGACUUGGAAUAAAGAGUAAAUCAAAACCAGAUGCAUCUGGCGUCUAAAAUCAUGUUUUUUCUAACCACGCAAUCUGUAGGAAGAAAGCCAUUGCUGUAAAAGGUAUUUAUGCACAAGUUUCCAUCAUGUAAUUAUAAACACAUGAAUGCAUUAUUUAUUCAUCACACAUCUCUGUUUCCCUGCAUCCUCCCCUGGUCUCCUUAAUGAUCCCAUAACUGUAGGAAGAUGUGCAUGCCGGUUAUAGAACUGCUGAGCAGAUGCACAUAUUUCCACAGCCACCUCAUUAUUGGUAACAUAGUACAUCUAAAUGUGGAAAUUACCAUUCGUCAUGUUUUUGUGCAAACUAAUCUUCAUGGAAGAUUAGAUUUAGAAGUCCCUGAAGGAUUUCUAAAAAAUGUGUCCAAGUAAAUAUGACCUUCAAAUUUAAACGUGGGAGAAAAGCAUAGCAAAAUGUAUAUAUAUUUUUUUAUUUUUAAUAAAUUUCUUUAUUUAACCAUGUUUAUUUAAUAUGGCUCAACUAUACAUAAAAAACAAUCUCAAAUAUUAAGAAUAUGUACUUCGCUUUCUUUUGGUGAUGGCAUUUAUUCCGUUCGGCUUCUUAUGAUUAUAUAUAAAAAUAAACAUUUAAAUAACCUGGAUGUGUACAAUGCAUUUAAACCUUAACAUAUUCAAUGUAAUAGUACCAUUAAAAAAAGAUAAACCAGCUUUAUUACAGAGUCACCAAUGCGCAAACAUGAAAGAAUGCAUUUCCUGAGUGUGGACCACCCCCAGGCCCACGAGAUGGAGAAAUGCAUGAUGAAGAUGAGGAGGAGGAAGAAAAGGAGGAGUUUCUAGGGGGAUGGGGUGGGGGUGCCAGCUUUCACUGCUGAGCAGAGACAUCUGGAAGCAUUUACAUCUGCGCUAACACAGAGUGGCGCAGGCCCAAAAGUUACAUCACUCAAAGAUCUACACAAUCCCCCUCCCUCACCACACAUCCACACACAUCGGAGUAAAUCCUUAGUUUCAUGUGCAGAAGGAACGAAAUGCACAUGUGGUGGAAAGAGCCGGACAAAGGCAUAAAGUGAACACAGAGUGUGAUCAUAAAGACACUUGUAGAGUUAAGUCCGACUUCCCAAACACCCAGCAGGAGUUGUGAGGACAAGCGCCUACACACUUGUACACACAAUCACCCCCUCCCCUCCGGCCCCAGUAACCCAGUACGAUUUCCUGCAAAUUCCAAAGUCAGAUCCCGGCUGGAACAUUUCAGCUUGGCUGCCACGUCAGUUUGCCUACACCAUCCUAGCCCGCUUGUUAUCCAAGCUUUUCCGCAAGAAAGUCAGUGAAAGGAAGAGAAAACGAAGACAAAGAGACAACUGUUUCACUUUUUAAUUUGAAUCAGUUCUUUAAUAUUGUUUUAGAUUGCGUUUUUGAUGGAAGAAGACAACGAAGGCUUGAGAGAGAGCGAGUGUCCUUGUGUAGCGACCGACAGACGCAAUGACCUCUGGGUCCUUCCUCUCAGUCCUUUUCACCCCCCACCCAGCCUGCCCAGUGUUCAGACUACCUGUUCCUAUGGCUACAGUUGAACAGUAGUCUGCACAUUGGUUAGGCCAGGCUGGGAUGCACACAGCUCCUCACCUCUGAUGACAACAAACCUCCAUAAGGAUAUAUACAGUCUGUAACAUCGUCACCAUUUGCUGAAAUUUAACCGAUAUGUACCCGUUUCUGUCACAUUAAAGAAGUCGAUGAAGCAGCAGUUCUUCUCACCUCCUCAUCUUUGUACCAGGAUAGAGAUUCGGCCGUCAGCACGAACCAGUAUUCCUUGGAGCCUCCUUUCAUGAUGCUGAUGUUGAGGGUUAGCCAGCCUUUCCUGAUUACCUGCACAAUGAAGGGAUCGUGUGGAGGAGACAAGGAUUGCAGGGAGAUGGGGAAACAAUAGAAACAGUUAAGCUUUUCUGAAAGUAAGAUUUAAAAAUGAUGAAUUAUUGAUUCAAACACUGACUUACCUGUGUGGUUAAACACUAGUUUUGUUUACGUUUAAAUUAAAUGUUAUUUAAAUGUGAUUUUAGUGAUAGUUAAGACUUCCUACGAUAGAAGUGCAAAAAGGAUGGAAUAAUCAGAGGAUAGUAAAAUGUGCAUCUUAGAAUGGGCAGUUAGAUGUAAAAAAAAAUAUCCAGACUGAAACUACUGAACAGAAAUGAAAGCCUUGUUCUGUUUUACUCAACAGAAAAUGAAUCAAACCAAGAAAGUGAGACGCUUUCUAGGGCGUGCCCGCCCCAAUUUAGGGGCAAAUACGAAAGGUCGACGGCGGCGUCAGAAGUUAAUCAGAGAGGAUCAGAGGUGCUCGAUUACACAGAGAAAAUGUUAAACAGCUUUCCUUCAGAAGCAUACAGAACGAAUGUGUUAGUUGAGUCGACAAAUGCUGCGUUUUCAGACAAACAAAUCUAAACAGCGGCUGGUUACAUGUUAAGCGAAGGAGGACAAGACAGAAACAGCUAACUGUAACAGGUUAUUUUAGAAAAAAGUUAUUUAGUUUUAAAAGCUCUUCUAAAAAUCACAUCUUUCUACAUCGACUCCCAUGCACUCCUACUACAAUAUCAGGAAGUACGUUGUGAAAUAAAAGCUGGGGGGCGUUGGGUAAUGUGUUGGGUUCUUGUCAAAUCCUUCUUCAGACUUCGGUUGUACAAUUUCUCUCCAUUCAGAAGAGAACUUCAGUGGGAGAUGGCGGAGGCAGAGAGGGAGCUUAUUUACUUGGCGUAAUAGUGCCAAUAUCAAUAUGGGAGAGGAGGUAACAGAGUUCCUGGAGAGUAAUGACUCAAGCUUUACAGAAAUGAAAAAAAAAACCCAAACAAAAAGUAAAACUUUAAAUCCAGUCAGUUGGGAAUACUGUUU